CCCGGUCCCACUACCUCCACGGGUCCCGGUGUUGUGCCCUCACCGCCGGGCUGGUUUCCUGCCGCUGACACCGGCGCGGCGCGACGCUCCUCCCAGUUCCUGUUGGAAUCGCUGAGCCUCUCUGAAGAUCCCCGGUGAUUCUAGCACUGCCCUUGGGGAACACCACGAGCUAUUAUCACAGAUGCAUCACAAAGAAGUACAUGACUGGAAGUAUCCUUACGUUGCAUCACGGGCCUGGUUCGGCAAUUCCAAUGCACAGGAACACAAGAGGCUGCAAAGGACAGUGGACACAACCCGGUCCGUCACGGGCACAGCCCUCCCCACCAUUGAAAGCAUCUACAGGUGAAACUGCCUCAGGAAGGUGGCAUCUAUCAUCAAGGAUCCCCACCGUCCAGGUCCUACUCUCUUCUCGCUGCUACCGUCUGGCAGGAGGUGCAGAAGCCUGAAGUCCCACACCACCAGGUUCAGGAACAGCGACUUCCCUACAACCAUCAGGUUCUUGGACCGACCUGCACAAUCCUAUCCUGACCUCGGCAACAGAACACAAUGGACCACCUCUUGUACUACCAUGGACAUGUCUCUAUUUGUUUUUGUGCACUGAUGUCUUGUUUUGCAUAGUAAUUUUUCUUCUCUGUUUGGUAAUAAUUUACAUAUAAUUUAUGUUCUGUGUUGUCUGAGCCUAUGUGCCUGUGGUGCUGCUGCAAGCAGAUUUUUCAUUGGACCCAUACCUCAUUAUACUUGUGCACAUGACAAUAAACUCGACUUGACUCGACCAUUGUGCUUCAGUCUGAAAAAAAAUCACUUACCACAACUCAUUUGUUUUCUAUCCUUAAGCCAA